rnacentral:rRNA from 1 species
UACGAAGGGUGCAAACGUUAUUCGGAGUUAUUGGGCGUAAAGAGCGUGUAGGCGGUUUGUUAAGUUAGUUGUUAAAUAUCUCGGCUUAACCGAGAAACUGCGACUAAAACUGGCGAACUAGAGGGUAAGAGAGAGAAGCGGAAUUCUUGGAGUAGCGGUAAAAUGCGUAGAUCUCAAGAGGAACACCGAUUGCGAAGGCAGCUUCUUGGCUUAUUCCUGACGCUGGAGCGCGAAAGCGUGGGGAGCAAACAGG